rnacentral:rRNA from 1 species
UACAGAGGUCUCAAGCGUUGUUCGGAUUCAUUGGGCGUAAAGGGUGCGUAGGUGGCGCCGUAAGUGGGGUGUGAAAUUUCGGAGCUUAACUCCGAAACUGCAUUCCAUACUGCGGUGCUUGAGGACUGGAGAGGAGACUGGAAUUUACGGUGUAGCAGUGAAAUGCGUAGAGAUCGUAAGGAAGACCAGUGGCGAAGGCGGGUCUCUGGACAGUUCCUGACACUGAGGCACGAAGCCAGGGGAGCAAACGGG